rnacentral:rRNA from 1 species
ACGGGGUGCAGCAGGCGCGAAACCUCCGCAAUACGCGAAAGUGUGACGGGGUUACCCAAAGUGUUCAAUAUUGAACUGUGGCAGGUGGUUAAUGUCCCCUGCUAGAAAGGAGAGGGCAAGGCUGGUGCCAGCCGCCGCGGUAAUACCUGCAGCUCUAGUGGUGGCCGCUAUUAUUGGGCCUAAAACGUCCGUAGCCGGUUUAUUAAAUGCCUAGGUAAAUUGUGUGGCUUAACCAUACGAAUUCUGGGUAGACUGGUAAACUUGAGACCGGGAGAAGCUAGAGGUACUCCUGGGGUAGAGGUGAAAUUCUGUAAUCCUAGGGGGACCAUCAGUGGCGAAGGCGUCUAGCUAGAACGGGUUUGACGGUGAGGGACGAAGCCCUGGGGCGCAAACGGGAUUAGAUACCCCGGUAGUCCAGGGUGUAAACGCUGCUUGCUUGAUGUUGGUUGGGCUCCGAGCCCAAUCAGUGUCGGAGAGAAGUUGUUAAGCAAGCUGCCUGGGAAGUACGAUCGCAAGACUGAAACUUAGAGGAAUUGGCGGGGGAGCAC